UACGUAGGGGGCAAGCGUUGUCCGGAUUCAUUGGGCGUAAAGAGCGUGUAGGCGGCCAGGUAGGUCGGUUGUGAAAACUGGAGGCUCAACCUUCAGACGUCGACCGAAACCAUCUGGCUAGAGUCCGGGAGAGGAGAGUGGAAUUCCUGGUGUAGCGGUGAAAUGCGCAGAUAUCUGGAGGAACACCGGUGGCGAAGGCGGCAUCCUGGACCGGCAUUGACGCUGAGGCGCGAAAGCCAGGGGAGCAAAGCGGG
rnacentral:rRNA from 1 species